AUUGAACGCUGGCGGCAGGCCUAACACAUGCAAGUCGAGCGGAGCGGCGGACGGGGGAGUAAUGCCUAGGGAUCAGCCUGGUAGUGGGGGACAACGUCCGGAAACGGGCGAUAUUGCCGCAUAAUCUAAGAUGAGUCUAGGUGGGCUUAGGUAGUUGGGGGGGGAAAGGCCUACCAAGGUGACGAUCCGUAACUGGUCUGAGAGGAUGAUGAGUCACACUGGAACUGAGACACGGUCCAGACUCCUACGGGAGGCAGCAGUGGGGAAUAUUGGACAAUGGGCGAAAGCCUGAUCCAGCCAUGCCGCGUGUGUGAAGAAGGUCUUCGGAUUGUAAAGCACUUUAAGUUGGGAGGCGUUACCAACAGAAUAAGCACCGGCUAACUCCGUGCCAGCAGCCGCGGUAAUAC
rnacentral:rRNA from 1 species